AUCCAAGAUAAAAUCACAAAGAUAGCUGAAUCCGCCGCUUCUUUUACUUCAAUGAAGCAAGGAGAGGUGACAAUCAAGGAAGUCAUGGAUAUGGUCUUGGAAUGUGGGGCUGUGCACAGUUCCAAUGAGCAUGAUAUUGCCACACAGUUAUUUGUGAAGAAGGACCAACGGGAAAUGUUCAAGACCCUUCCUAAAGAGUUUAGGUUCAAUUGGCUUAAGAGGAGAUACAACGACAAGUAUGGAAAUUGA
rnacentral:rRNA from 1 species